ACGGCGAGUGAACAGGGAAAAGCCCACCACCGAAGCCUGUGGUCGUUUGGCCCCUAGGCAAUGUGGUGUUCAGGUUAGCUCGCGAAGAUGCUGCUCCACCCUAAGUCCUAUAAUGAGUAAGGUUACUCGGACAUGGCCCAAUGAGGGUGAAAGGCCCGUGGGGGUGGAGAUUCAGAAUGGCCAGUAUCUUCCUGAGCAGACCUUGGAGUCGGGUUGUUUGUGAAUGCAGCCCAAAGCGGGUGGUAAACUCCAUCCAAGGCUAAAUACUAGCACGAGUCCGAUAGCGAACAAGUACCGUGAGGGAAAGUUGAAAAGUACUUUGAAGAGAGAGUAAACAGUGCGUGAAACCGUUCAGAGGUAAACAGGUGGAGUUGAACUGCAAGCUCUGAGGAUUCAGCUGGUGAGUAUGGCAUGAGCUUGGUCAUAUUGGUUGUGUGCUCGGGUCUGCUUAGCUGCAGGUCUCCGCUUCGGUGGGGAUGCGCGAAUCACUCAACAGGUGUUGUGCGUCCGGGUACUGACGGACCUGCUUGCCAGUGCCACUUUCUCUGAGUGUUCACCACGACCGACGUUGCUGUCUGGCUGUUGCGGUUAAA
rnacentral:rRNA from 1 species